GACGAACGCUGGCGGCGUGCCUAAUACGUGCCAGUCGAACGCUUCUUUCCUCCCGAGUGCUUGCACUCAAUUGGAAAGAGGAGUGGCGGACGGGUGAGUAACACGUGGGUAACCUACCCAUCAGAGGGGGAUAACACUUGGAAACAGGUGCUAAUACCGCAUAACAGUUUAUGCCGCAUGGCAUAAGAGUGAAAGGCGCUUUCGGGUGUCGUUGAUGGAUGGACCCGCGGUGCAUUAGCUAGUUGGUGAGGUAACGGCUCACCAAGGCCACGAUGCAUAGCCGACCUGAGAGGGUGAUCGGCCACACUGGGACUGAGACACGGCCCAGACUCCUACGGGAGGCAGCAGUAGGGAAUCUUCGGCAAUGGACGAAAGUCUGACCGAGCAACGCCGCGUGAGUGAAGAAGGUUUUCGGAUCGUAAAACUCUGUUGUUAGAGAAGAACAAGGACGUUAGUAACUGAACGUCCCCUGACGGUAUCUAACCAGAAAGCCACGGCUAACUACGUG
rnacentral:rRNA from 1 species